AAUUGUUUUUUCUUUCAUUUCUCUCUGUGCACCUCUAUGAAGAAUCCUGAGAGGGAGAGAAACGUGCUGCCACAGGUUGGGGAUUGGCUGUGAGCUGGGCUGUUUCUUUACAUCUUCAGAAAUGGAAAAUCAGGUGGUUUGUGAGCUGGUGGUGCUGCUGCCUGGCUGAGAGCUGUCCUGAGGAUAAGGAUGCUGUGCUUUGCCAGAGCACAAAUUAAGCUCUUGCUUUAACACUUGGCCUUUUUUUGAAAUCUCCACUUUCCAGCCAGCUACAGCAGCUCAGGGCUUCAUGGGCCUUUUCCAAACAGCCUGUGCGUGAUAGCAAAGAAAAAUAAACUUUGGUUCCCUGUGUGCUGAUCCUCACAUGCACUGGGAAGAGGCUGAGGAAUCACCAGAGUGGAGCUGCUGAGAGCUGGCCUCUGUUAGCAGCUAGUCAGAAACAGCAACCCUGAGUUUGAAGGGCACAGACACUGCCCAGAGUGCUCAUUGUUAACACCAAAAUGUUGGAUUUUGAUGCUGCAGCAAAGGAGGUUAUGCCACAUAAGACACCCAAGUCUGUGAAAGUCACGGGGGUUUUAUCUGAUCUUUUUGCAUGAUCUCUUUGCCUUGUUUCUUCUAAAGCAGAAAUCACCUGCCUGAGGAGUCUGGGCUGGUCAGAGGUUUGAGAUCCAUCCACAGUGUUGGGUAAAAUUUGUGGUAGCAUUUACAACUGUAUUUGCUGAUUUUAUCUGUUCAUCUUUUCACGUUCUCCUGUAUUUAAUGAGAGGUUUGUUUUGGGUUUUUGUUUUUUUUUCUGAGAUAAAAUUUCAGAUUUAUCUGAAACAAAGGAGCAAGUCCUUGUGAAAGGGAUUCAUUCCUCCCCAUCAGAGCUGGGUUCCAGACUCAGAGAUUAUUUAAACUGUUUUCACUCAUUCACCUUGGAGCAUUCCCAUAGGAUUUUUAACCUCUGAGCAUGUUUCCUUUCAUCAGCAGGGAUUGCAGAAGUCUGCAAUGACUUUUUCUCCUUUGGUGCAAAAGUUAAACAUGAAUUUAUGAUGUGAUUGCGCCGAGAUUUCAGAACUGUGCUGCAAAAAUCGAAGUUGCUGUGAUCUUACCUGCCUGGAGAUUACAGGCAAAUAACACUUGCUAAACACCCCAUACCUGAGAUGAUAUAUUGAGCUCCUGAGUAUUUUUAUUAAGCUGUUCUGAAAUUAUUCCCAAAGGAUGCAAACCUCGGCUUAGCUACAACUGCUACCCACAGUCUUUAAAGAACAUUCUGAAACCUUUUUGCUAAACAAUCUGCUCAGCUGUUACCAAGUUUUACCCAAUAUUCAAAUGACACUUCUUCCUUUUCAACCCUUGCCAAGCUGAGGUUAUUAAGAAAGAGAUACAAAUUAAAAGGAUUAAAAAUGCAACUCUAAUUAAACACAUAUGAGCAGUUAAAAGUCAGCUCUGCCCUGGUUAUCUGUGCACGCAGAAAUAUCACACACAACUUAAAACAGCCAAAAGUCUCCAUUAAGAGCUUGCUGAAGGCACCACCAGGGUAAUAACACACUGUGCCUUCUCUGCAGCUUCCUCUGGGUAGAACUUGAAAUAUUUUUUAGGAUGAGAUGAGCCAUUGCUCUCCCCACUUGCAAAGAAGAAGCAGCUGAGGGUGGGAGGAAGGAGAGGAGCAUCCUCCCCUUGCAGCCUCCCUGAGCUUGAGCUGCCUGAGCCCAUCCAUGGAGAGGAGCUCUGGUUGUCCCCAAAAACUGUGGGGGUGGCUCACCUUUCCCAGCAAACCUGGGGUUUCUUUUCAGAAGAAUGUGCAACAAAAACACAUCGAGCCACGCUGAAUUUCUAUGACGAAAGUGAGUUGGUAUCUCUUAAAUAAAGUAUCCAAACAAGCCCUUGAAGACACAUAAUCACCAAGCAGCAUCUGUGAUCACAGCUCGGCGUUUUAAAGGAUUAGGGGGGGAUUAGGACGUUUGUAAAUUCCUCACCAACCUUUUGUACAGGCAGGAUGGAAUAUUUUUUAAAGAAUUCAGGGACUGUCUGUUAAAAGCCUUUAUUCCCCUGAUUUGUGCUGGGUGUGGACAGCUUUGGGAUUUUUUAAAAGGUAGCAUAACAUGGCUCAUCAAUCUAGGCUGCAUAUAAAUCCUGCUUUGUAUGAUUCCUAAUCAGUUUUGAGGGCUUUCUGCUCCUCAUGAAGAAUGGAAAAACCCCUCCUUGCACUGGAGAAUAACAGGUCCUUUCAUUCUGCUGCUGGUUAAACACCCCACCCAAGGGAAGGAUAUCACCUAGGGGAAAAAGGGGAGCAGGGUUUGAGCCCCAAGAAGUGUUCCAGAAAAACCUCUCAUGUUCUGGUCCUUGUGGGCCCCACGUAUCAUGAUUGGCUUGAACAUUCACAGGAAAUAAUCAGGGUUCACCAGACAGGAUAACAGGAUUUUCCUGCUCUUUGUGGGGUGGGAGAAGAAGCUGGACAGGGAAGGAGAGGAACACCCUGCCCCGUGCCUGCAUCCAGGUGAGGUGAGCUGGCAUCCUUUGGAUGCACUGAGGAUGAGGCAGGGAUGUUCAGAGCAUCCCUUGGGCCAAAGGAAUAGGAAAUAAUACAUUAAAAAAAAAAUCUGUUUGCUUGAAUGGUUCAUUCUUCCACAUUCCUUUUGGCUGUUGUCAUCUUCUCCCCAAAGCUGCUGAGGGUGGAAUUCCUGUGCUGCCCAGCUCUGCCUGUAGCUCCCAGCAAGGUGCAGCAAUCCUUGCCUGCCUGCAGAUUUGCCAAGGACAGGGCAACAAGAACAGCCUGCAAACUGUGGGCUGAGCUUUUAGCUAAUUUUUGUUUUCCAAACAAAAAAAAAAGUCUGAAUGUUCAAAGCUCUGCAACUGAUAUUUCCUCUAUAAUUUUAUCACUUUUUCUUCAGCCUAAAGCUAAUCUUGAACAUGAAAUCUGCUUCUUGUGUGUGAUCUCCUGCUCACCUGGAGACACCUCAGAGCUCUGACCCUCGAGGUCUUCAUGGACUGAUGAAUAUUUCUGGACACCUCCUUAGGAGGAGGAAGACAUUUAAAGCUGCUUGCACUGUGUUGCCUGGUGGUGUCUGGACUGUGGCUCUUAAAUCCCAGGAAGCCCAGAAAUGCAGAUACCUGAAAUGCUGCCUGAAUUUACAUUUGAACUGAAGCACCCUGAGUCAUAUUGCCUCUGUUUUGUGGGGUUUUAUUAGAAGAAAAAUCACCCGGACAUGCCAAACCUGUGUCCCUCUGCAACCCCACCUGCAUGAAAUCACCUGAACGUGGAUAAGAGGCUUCAAACCAGUGUGAAUUCUUUCACCUCGGAGUGCUACAGGAAUUGUCACAAAUAAUUUCACAUGGAAGAAAUAAAUCUGUUAAAAAACCA